rnacentral:rRNA from 1 species
GACGAACGCUGGCGGCGUGCCUAAUACAUGCAAGUUGAGCGCUGAAGGUUGGUACUUGUACCAACUGGAUGAGCAGCGAACGGGUGAGUAACGCGUGGGGAAUCUGCCUUUGAGCGGGGGACAACAUUUGGAAACGAAUGUUAAUACCGCAUAAAAACUUUAAACACAAGGUUUAAGUUUGAAAGAUGCAAUUGCAUCACUCAAAGAUGAUCCCGCGUUGUAUUAGCUAGUUGGUGAGGUAAAGGCUCACCAAGGCGAUGAUACAUAGCCGACCUGAGAGGGUGAUCGGCCCAAUUGGGACUGAGGAAAGGCCCAAACUCCUACGGGAGGCAGCAGUAGGGAAUCUUCGGCAAUGGACGAAAGUCUGACCGAGCAACGCCGCGUGAGUGAAGAAGGUUUUCGGAUCGUAAAACUCUGUUGGUAGAGAAGAACGUUGGUGAGAGUGGAAAGCGCAUCAAGUGACGGUAACUACCCAGAAAGGGACGGCUAACUACGU